UACGAAGGGGGCUAGCGUUGCUCGGAAUCACUGGGCGUAAAGCGCACGUAGGCGGAUUCCUAAGUCGGGGGUGAAAUCCUGGAGCUCAACUCCAGAACUGCCUUCGAUACUGGGAAUCUUGAGUCCGGGAGAGGUGAGUGGAACUGCGAGUGUAGAGGUGAAAUUCGUAGAUAUUCGCAAGAACACCAGUGGCGAAGGCGGCUUACUGGUCCGGUUCUGACGCUGAGGCGCGAAAGCGUGGGGAGCAAACAGG
rnacentral:rRNA from 1 species